UUAGAGAUAUUGAUUUCUAAUUUUGUCAUAUUAUUGCUCAGACAGAUCUAUUUCAGGGUUUUUCUUGUCUAAGUGUGUGGAUUGUGAAAAGUUAGAGCAAUGGUGUCAUCAGUUGAUCUAUUUUUACUAUAUAAAAACUGUUGAGGGUCCAUGGGGUUUGGCAAGAAGGAACAGAUGUGGUCUUUAAUGAGCAACUUCAAAUAAUUCAGUAUGAUAGAGGUUAGUGGUACAGGUUGGUAGGUAUUCAGGCAGGUAACUACAGACUUUCAGGACAGGGAUGAUGGUGGUUUUCUUAAAGCAUGUGGGAAUCACUGAUAGUCUAAGGAAGAGGUUGAAAAUUUCUGUAAACACCUUUGUUUGCUGGUUGGCACAUGAUUUGAGGACAUGGCCAUGAACACCAUCAGGACCAGCUGCUUUGUGGGGGUUGAGUUUUGUAACUGAUUUGGUUAAGUCAGUUUCACUUCAGGGAAAUUGCUGUUAUCUCAAAUUAUUUCUAGAUGUCAUUCAACUGAUCUGGCAGUGAGGCAGACAGAUCCAUGGUCAUCUGAAUUGUAGGCUGAAGUACAAUCUUUGAGUUUGGCCCUAACAUCAGAAGGCUUGACAUAUUGCCUUUAUAAAGAUGAUGAACAUAUGAAGUCUUGCUACACGAAAACACCAGUUCUGGUUUUAAUAUCAUCAUACUCAGCAGACAGUUUUCCAAGAUGUUUGACCUAGGUCUCCAGCACAAGCUAUCCUUGUGCAUGCAACAUUUAUAAACAACAAAACCAUAAUCAUUCACGAUGGUCUCUCAUUGCUUUUUCGCUUAUGUCAGUCAGCACAGGAGUUCUAGAAGGCUGUGAUGAGGACUUUCAUGCAAAUGAUCGCAUACAUAUCAACAAUAGCAAUCAGAGAUGAGAACUCAGGAACAUAAAUCUGUCACAGCAAUUUCUGGAAUCUUUCUAUCAUCGCUCCAUUGACAGUGCUCUGACAUACAAGAUACUACUAUUAUACAAUAACAGCUCAGAUUGUGUCAUUUUUAAUUUCAAAAUGCAUUUUCUGUAUUGUAAUGAAUGAAUGAAUUUAUGAUUUUUUUUG